GAUGAACGCUGGCGGCGUGCCUAAUACAUGCAAGUCGAGCGAAUGGAUUAAGAGCUUGCUCUUAUGAAGUUAGCGGCGGACGGGUGAGUAACACGUGGGUAACCUGCCCAUAAGACUGGGAUAACUCCGGGAAACCGGGGCUAAUACCGGAUAAUAUUUUGAACUGCAUGGUUCAAAAUUGAAAGGCGGCUUCGGCUGUCACUUAUGGAUGGACCCGCGUCGCAUUAGCUAGUUGGUGAGGUAACGGCUCACCAAGGCAACGAUGCGUAGCCGACCUGAGAGGGUGAGCGGCCACACUGGGACUGGGACACGGCCCAGGCUCCUACGGGAGGCAGCAGUAGGGAAUCUUCCGCAAUGGACGAAAGUCUGACAGAGCAACGCCGCGUGAGUGAUGAAGGCUUUCGGGUCGUAAAACUCUGUUGUUAGGGAAGAACAAGUGCUAGUUGAAUAAGCUGGCACCUUGACGGUACCUAACCAGAAAGCCACGGCUAACUACGUGCCAGCAGCCGCCGCAG
rnacentral:rRNA from 1 species